rnacentral:rRNA from 1 species
UACGGAGGAUGCAAGCGUUAUCCGGAAUGAUUGGGCGUAAAGCGUCCGCAGGUGGCUGUGUAAGUCUGCUGUUAAAGAGUGAGGCUCAACCUCAUAAAGGCAGUGGAAACUACAUGGCUAGAGUGCGUUCGGGGCAGAGGGAAUUCCUGGUGUAGCGGUGAAAUGCGUAGAGAUCAGGAAGAACACCGGUGGCGAAAGCGUUCUGCUAGACCUGUACUGACACUGAGGGACGAAAGCUAGGGGAGCGAACAGG